GAUGAACGCUGGCGGCGUGCCUAACACAUGCAAGUCGAGCGAAGCGCUUAAAUUAGAUUUCUUCGGAAUGACGAUUUUUGUGACUGAGCGGCGGACGGGUGAGUAACGCGUGGGUAACCUGCCUCAUACAGGGGGAUAACAGUUAGAAAUGACUGCUAAUACCGCAUAAGACCCCAGCUUCGCAUGAAGCGGUGGUAAAAACUCCGGUGGUAUGAGAUGGACCCGCGUCUGAUUAGCUAGUUGGUAAGGUAACGGCUUACCAAGGCGACGAUCAGUAGCCGACCUGAGGGGGUGACCGGCCACAUUGGGACUGAGACACGGCCCAGACUCCUACGGGAGGCAGCAGUGGGGAAUAUUGCACAAUGGGGGAAACCCUGAUGCAGCGACGCCGCGUGAAGGAUGAAGUAUUUCGGUAUGUAAACUUCUAUCAGCAGGGAAGAAAGUGACGGUACCUGACUAAGAAGCCCCGGCUAACUACGUG
rnacentral:rRNA from 1 species